UGCUUCUUCCUGUCUCUGCAGGAGUCUGGUCCCUCGGUUUGACUCCAGAGACCCACGGUGGACUGCUGUGGACCGCUGUGGACAGCUGUGUCAGGGUGUGACUGACAUACCAGAGGAAUCAAACCGACACACUACAUGACCAGACAGCUCCACCGCGGCUCCUCAGUGUGAAUAUAAAUCACCAGCUGUCCGACUGGAACCGACCAAACCUCAGCAACAGACUCAGAGUGAUUCACCCAAACCUGCUGCAGCCUGGAUCCAGCUCUCAGCGUUAACAUCUGUGUGGAGCAGCUCAGCGUCGGUGGAGCUGGACUCCACCUUCACAAACCAAACUGUCCAACUAUAAAGUGGUUUUGGUCCACAGACCAGUUGGUGGACCAGCAGUUCUGCCACAUCCCAGAGGUGGUCUGCUGGUUCCAGGUCUGCAGACUGGGGAGGCCACUGGCAUGUUCAUGAAACCAGUUUGUGACCUGGAGCCGCAUCCUGCUGGAAGGAGGGAGGCUGGGUCCCAGGGGUCAAAGGCUGCAGCAUGCCUCGCUCUCCCCUCAGGCAGAGGAAGACUCCACAAACAGUCUGACUCCAUUGGCUUUAAACUUCAGUCACAGUGAAACAGGUUUUAACCAAAGUGUGAGUUUAAUGUGAGGAACCUGCACAAACU